AGGCCUUUGAGUCUAAGGGUAUUAUGAACAUGGAUACUCUUAUCACUGAGGUCCGAAGUUCAUCCCUAGAAGCCGUUUAUCAAGGAAGGUGGCAAAGGGGUUCCGAGGAUGAAGUCCUCCAGGAGGAAGUCUACAAACACAAUGAGCAGGAGGACCAGGAUGUCAGCAACAGCCAGAGCCAGGAGCAGUGUCAAAAAGACCAAGAGGGACUCAGACGGCCCAUUUAAUUUUCACUUGGACUUUGCUGGAAAGGAGGACUGUAAAUUCUUGUUUUUGUUCCCUCAGCAGUGUGUAUUAAACCACUCACUUCCACACGUCUCUCUAUGGCUGUUAUUACACAGUAGAUAAUGUAUGCAUUAUUCUCCAGACUGGUGCUGCCAGCCUUCAAGCAACCUUGAUCUGUGAGAGCAGCAUCUGAAUUUAAUAAAGGUGUAUCAGCAAAACAAAAGCAACAAAGACUAGCAAACGUAACAAACCAGAGCAGGACCAUGGCAAAACAGUACAAGAAUGGUAGCAAAUACAAGCUGUUUAUUCA